AGCUCAGUGAAUUCAACAAAAUACAUUUUGGUUAUAUACACUAUUCUGAAUUUGUUGUUGUAAAAGAAAUUUAUGGGAGCU